rnacentral:lncRNA from 1 species
CCACUAAUUCAAAAAGAGCCUUAGUCACAUUCAGGAAUUUUUCAACUCUGACCCCACUCAUCCUUAUGAAUCCUUCAUUCUUUGUAUAUAUCUGUGAGAAACCCUCAUACUUUUCUUCCAUGAUUACCAGGCUUCAAAUAGUUGAAAGGUUGUAGCAGUGUCAUCAGUUACCCGUUAUUAGGAGGUUUUGAGUUUCCAACUUUGAUAGUAUAUUGUCAGCUCCAAACAGAAUUGUGAACACUACAUGGCUGAGUUUUAUAACGACGAGGUGCCCAUUCUGUCAGAUGCUACAGUCUGAGUGGAGCAUGCUGGAGCAGAUGCCGGCUCUGCGGAGGAGGAGUAGGAGUCUACAAGAUGGAGCAUUAUGACUUUUGUAGUUUUUUUAUGACAUUUUGUUGGAUUUGGUUGUAAUCCUAUUAUAUUUGCAUUUUUUUUGGUGUUUUUAUGAUAUUUUUCGUUAUUUUAUUCUGUUAUUUUUCU